GGGGAUGUGGUCAAGGGGUAUGACAAGCGAUCCGCAUUUUCAAGGGGACGUUUUUCGCUUAGCCAGGGUUCGAGUCCCUGCCUCUCCA